GACGAACGCUGGCGGCGUGCUUAACACAUGCAAGUCGAACGGAAAGGCCCUGCUUUUGUGGGGUGCUCGAGUGGCGAACGGGUGAGUAACACGUGAGUAACCUGCCCUUGACUUUGGGAUAACUUCAGGAAACUGGGGCUAAUACCGGAUAGGAGCUCCUGCUGCAUGGUGGGGGUUGGAAAGUUUCGGCGGUUGGGGAUGUACUCGCGGCUUAUCAGCUUGUUGGUGGGGUAGUGGCUUACCAAGGCUUUGACGGGUAGCCGGCCUGAGAGGGUGACCGGCCACAUUGGGACUGAGAUACGGCCCAGACUCCUACGGGAGGCAGCAGUGGGGAAUAUUGCACAAUUGGCGGAAGCCUGAUGCAGCAACGCCGCGUGCGGGAUGACGGCCUUCGGGUUGUAAACCGCUUUCGCCUGUGACGAAGCGUGAGUGACGGUAAUGGGUAAAGAAGCACCGGCUAACUACGUG
rnacentral:rRNA from 1 species